rnacentral:lncRNA from 1 species
CCCAAGGCAUCAGGGAAGUUGAGAUCCAGCCCCAACUUCUAAAAAACUUAUCAAAAAUAUCAAAACAAAAGCCGGAGCCAAAGCAAAAUGCGGCUCCUAAAAAGAAUAAAAAGGAGCAGAAAAAUAAAGAAGCUCCCGAAAAGAAAAUCCAAGAAAAGAGGGACGAAGUCCCCAAACCCUCACAAAAGAAGACAGUGUGGAAGGUAAAAGAAAAAGUUGAACAAACCGCCACACUGCCCAAGGUGAUCCACCUAGAAUGGAAGCCCAACCAUCUUCUCCU